AGCCUGCUUAAGUAAAGGUCCUUAACAUUUCGAGUCUGCAAUGCCAGCUAACGGUAGGAAGCUAUUUUACCUCUCAAUCUUGCUUUAUUUUAUUCUCCUCUGACUGGCUAUUAUACUGUAUGACAUAUGGUCUGCUUAAAUUAGGCAGGAGCACAAAAUCUUGUUCCUUCGUUUCAGAGUGUGAAGCCAGGUUGACUAUUAAUAGGAAAAGCCCUGGAAGAAUGUGUAUGCAGCAGUCAGACUCUGCAUAAGGGAAACGAAAGCUAUGAUACAAUAGGGAAUAAAAUGAAUUUCUUGUGCAUUACAGCCAGAACAACUAUAGGCUAACACCAUUCCAAACUAAGUGUAGAAGUGCUGUUACAUCUGCGUGUCUAGGAGGUGGCAUGCCAGUGACCUGAUGUACAUGGUAUCCAGCGUACAGAUUUUCCAGAGUGAUCUCCAAGUUGUAACGGACAACCUCUUUCCUGCCAGCAGAGCCUGGAGAGGAAUAAACCAAGACCACCGGCUAAGUCACUGCGUAACAUGCUGUGGAUAUGAGCGCCGAAUGCCCUCAGCACAGAGUGCCUAUCAUUCAGCCCUCUGAUGGCAACACUCAGACAACUCAGGGACAGACAGAACACAAAACCAGAAAUGAGGAUGUACAACCAUGGCUGAAGAUGCCCAGAGAGUUGUGUAACGGCCAGAGAGAGGCAGAUGACAGCAACAAGAAAUUUCACAGCUCCAAAGAGUGAACCUACCAUGGAUUAGUACCAGAGACAGAAAUACAUCCACUAAAACCAUGAAGGAAGUCCCAGGAUCUAGCCCUUUACCACUGAACUGCAAUAGCUUGAUUGUGUUAAACUGAGUUCCAGGAUGCAAGAUGCUGUUCAGAUAGCUCUGCAAUACACUCUUCAGAUCCAGCAGCUUGGGCAGGAGAGAGCCCACGGAUGAUGGAAUACCCAGAUCUCUGCUGCCAUCCCAUGAGCAAUAGAUCCUUUCUUCUGGAUUCCCCAGGAUUCUCCCAGCAGCCAGCCUUGUUAACAGAAGUCAACAUGAAUAGUAACAGCCCUUCAAAAACGAGACAUGGAGGAACCUUGUGGGAAAGCACCUUGCAGUGCUUUGUCAUCUGCUGACAAACUGGUGCCAGGUCCAGAACUUCAUAAUAAAGUCUUGGGAGAAAAUUUUGCAGCAGACCAAGGAAUCGUGAAGGUAUGGACCUGCAGCAAAACUGCCGUAAGAAAUGAUGUAUUUACCUUUAUUCAUCUCCUUAAAGGCUGAAAGCUGAGCUUUGUGGCAAGCUGUGAUCUCACCUUCUUCAUUGCAUUGCAGUACUGUUUGUCAUGUUUUCUAGUAUUCCAAAAAAAGAAAAGGAGCAAGGCAAUAGCUGUUAGUUACUGACACAUUAUCUCCCAGUGGUAUCUUCAGAUUUAAAGCCUCUUGGGCACCUCUGUUAUGUUCCCAAAGCAAAGUACCUGGGUCAUGACACAGGAGGCUUCUAUGCCGCUGAUUCUCUGCUCUCUUCCAUGCAGCAGAGCUGGAUUCCUGGCAGCUGGAGGUGCUGCUCUUAUACACAACAGCAGCAAAUGGGCGCCCAUGUGAGUUAAAGAAUCACAGGAGACACCGUGCAUUGCUGCAGCACGUGGCUUCCAGGGCUGAGGUGAUGUUUCUGCCACCAGGCAGACUUCCUGCUCUCAGGUAGGAGCCUCGGGUGACUGGCUUGUUGUGCUUCCCUCACUGAGACACAGCUUUGGGCAGACACUGGGAGCAGGGCUUAACUUACCUCCGCUCCUUCUUGCUUCAACUGACUAACUCAGCUGCUCUGUGAGUGUGUGGAAAUUACCUUGAGUGCAAUUAUUUGCUGUAGGAGGACACUUGAAGCAGCCGAUGUCCCUGCAGUCUGUCGGGCAGGGUGCUUUAUGUACCGCAGUGCUGCAUUCCUGCCUAAUGCCAAGGGGAUGGCCUUUUGCAGCGGCUUAUCAGAUAGAGAUAGCAGCAAUUAUCCAGCACCGAUUCCUUCCCUCCCUCUCCUGGUCUGUUUCCAUGCUCUCAUACCAUGUGAUUUCUACAUUAAACGGGCUCCUUAUGUGAAAGCGGUCUCAGCUUUCAAGUUUAAGUUUAAAAAACCAACACGGAACGGAUGAAGUGAAAUGUUUCUUUUGGCCGGCGCUCUGACAAAGGGGAGGAAACCCCUCGCUGUGGGAGCGGGCGGCAGCGCCCUCUGCUGGGCGCACGGAGAGCCUGGAGGGCGGCCAGAGCCGGGGGGGCAAUAACGGGGAAUCCCUUCACAGCCCGGGGUCUGGGUGUCCCGGGGAGCUGCAAAUCCUGUUUCCGUGU